ACCUUCGGGUGUGUAUAAAGUGGCGAACGGCUGAGUAACACGUGGGCAACCUGCCCCUCUCAUUGGGAUAGCCACGGGAAACCGUGGAUAAUACCGAAUACUUCGGGACUUCCGCAUGGAAGACUCGAGAAAGCUCCGGCGGAGAGGGAUGGGCCCGCGGCCUGUUAGCUUGUUGGUGGGGUAACGGCCUACCAAGGCAAUGAUGGGUAGCUGGGUUGAGAGACCGACCAGCCAGAUUGGGACUGAGACACGGCCCAGACUCCUACGGGAGGCAGCAGUGGGGAAUCUUGCACAAUGGGCGAAAGCCUGAUGCAGCGACGCCGCGUGCGGGAUGAAGGCCUUCGGGUUGUAAACCGCUUUCAGCAGGGACGAGGCGAAAGUGACGGUACCUGCAGAAGAAGCCCCGGCUAACUACGUGCCAGCAGCCGCGGUAAUACGUAGGGGGCAAGCGUUAUCCGGACUCAUUGGGCGUAAAGCGCUCGUAGGCGGUCUGUUAGGUCGGGAGUUAAAUCCGGGGGCUCAACCCCCGUUCGCUCCCGAUACCGGCAGACUUGAGUUUGGUAGGGGAAGGUGGAAUUCCUAGUGUAGCGGUGGAAUGCGCAGAUAUUAGGAAGAACACCAGUGGCGAAGGCGGCCUUCUGGGCCAUAACUGACGCUGAGGAGCGAAAGCUAGGGGAGCAAACAGGAUUAGAUACCCUGGUAGUCCUAGCCGUAAACGAUGGACACUAGGUGUGGGGGAAUAUUUCUUCCGCGCCGCAGCUAA
rnacentral:rRNA from 1 species